UGACGUCAAAAAAUACCAGAAUGAGAGAGCAAAGACGAAUUCAAUAAGAAAAAGAAGAAGAAUCGAACAGCUGGGGCGAAAUUGAAAGUAAUUGAACAAAUACCAGCGGGCAGCCAGCGGGUCAGUUGCUGGUAACAAUUUGCAGAACGAUUCCACUGUGAUCGUUGCAUCGUCGUCAAUUAGUGAAAUCAGUAACCAAGCUUUUAAAAUAGAGGAAAACCUCCUACUCCGUUAUACAUAUAAUUACUUUAAUUAUUUAGCUACUUUUCCGGCAAAUUCUUGCCAGCAACUGACCCGCUGGCUGCCCACUGACAUUUGUUCAACUACUCAAAAAUUCACUUUGUAAACAAACCUUUUUGGUGUUGGCCACAUCAAGCGGCUCAUCUGGAUGAAAUGAAAAGGCUGUUAGAUGUAAUGCAGCAACGUGCUCCCGAUGUUGAACAUCAGUUCAAAGAAAAGUCAAAUGAGUUGGAAUGGCGCAGCUUAUUAUACGCCAGUUGUCGGGUAAGGCCAAUGUAAACCAAGGCGGCAAUCGUAUAGAGACCUUAACGCAGACGCAAUUUAUGUACGAGCAACAGAUUAGAGACUUACAAGCUAUGGUGCAACAAUUGACGUAUGCCAAAGAAAGGAAUUUAUGAUGGUCACAAAUAUAUUGGCAAAAACAUAGCAAGUGCAUAUGCCAAGUUGGAAAAAUUAACAAUGCUGGCCAAAAAGAAGAGUCUUUUUGAUGAUCGACCGCAAGAGAUUCAAGAAUUGACUUACAUCAUGGUGUAUGCGUUACAAUCUAAAUUAGCCAGCAUGGACACCGACUUCAAACAGAUACUAGAAGUGCGUAUAGAAAAUCUCAAACAACAAAAAGCGCGUCGGGAUCAAUUCGGGCAGUCACCAGUUGCUGCUAGCACUGUUCGCUCGAGUACAGCGAAACAGUGCUCCUUGCUAAUAACGAAUAUGUUUGUGACACGGCAAGAUUUUAACAAGUUCAGAGUCUUAAAGUUGUGGGUUUUUAAAUACAUAAAUAUAUAAUAUCCUAUUCAUAUACAUACAUAUAAAUCACACUAAUGUAAUAAUGAAAUUAGGUCUUAUAUGCCACGUGAAACGCGAUAGCUUUUAGAAGCAGUCACGUAGGGUUAGACACUAAUUCUGCAAAUAAUAAAAUUACUUCACUUAGUUUCCCUUUUUUUCAAAAUUUUCUAUAAAAAGUAGAGAUGAUCCUGAGUAAUACAACUAGAACCGAUUUAUGUAAUCACAAAUAUAUAAAGAAAAGUUUAAAACUAA